rnacentral:rRNA from 1 species
CACAUGCAAGUCGAGCGGUAGCAGGACCAGCUUGCUGGUUGCUGACGAGCGGCGGACGGGUGAGUAACGCGUAGGAAUCUGCCCGGUAGUUGGGGAUAGCCCGGAGAAAUCCGGAUUAAUACCGAAUAAUCUCUGAGGAGGAAAGGGGGCUUCGGCUCUCGCUACUGGAUGAGCCUGCGUGAGAUUAGCUAGUUGGUGGGGUAAAGGCUCACCAAGGCGACGAUCUCUAGCUGGUCUGAGAGGAUGAUCAGCCACACUGGGACUGAGACACGGCCCAGACUCCUACGGGAGGCAGCAGUGGGGAAUAUUGGACAAUGGGGGCAACCCUGAUCCAGCCAUGCCGCGUGUGUGAAGAAGGCUUUCGGGUUGUAAAGCACUUUCAGACAGGAGGAAGGGGUUUCGGUUAAUACCCGAGAUCAUUGACGUUACUGUCAGAAGAAGCACCGGCUAACUCCGUGCCAGCAGCCGCGGUAAUACGGAGGGUGCGAGCGUUAAUCGGAAUUACUGGGCGUAAAGCGCGCGUAGGCGGCAAGUUAAGUUGGGUGUGAAAGCCCCGGGCUCAACCUGGGAACUGCAUUCAAAACUGGCUCGCUUGAGUACGGCAGAGGAGUGUGGAAUUUCCGGUGUAGCGGUGAAAUGCGUAGAGAUCGGAAGGAACACCAGUGGCGAAGGCGACACUCUGGGCUGAUA